UACGUAGGGUGCAAGCGUUGUCCGGAAUUAUUGGGCGUAAAGAGCUCGUAGGCGGUCUGUCACGUCGGAUGUGAAAACUCGGGGCUCAACCCCGAGCCUGCAUACGAUACGGGCAGACUUGAGUUCGGCAGGGGAGACUGGAAUUCCUGGUGUAGCGGUGAAAUGCGCAGAUAUCAGGAAGAACACCCGUGGCGAAAGCGGCUCUCUGGAACGGUACUGACGCUGAGACGCGAAAGCGUGGGGAGCGAACAGG
rnacentral:rRNA from 1 species